GACGAACGCUGGCGGCGUGCCUAAUACAUGCAAGUCGAGCGGACUUUCAAGAAGCUUGCUUUUUGAAAGUUAGCGGCGGACGGGUGAGUAACACGUGGGCAACCUGCCUGCAAGACGGGGAUAACUCCGGGAAACCGGGGCUAAUACCGGAUAAUAUCUUCCUUCGCAUGAAGGAAGGUUGAAAGGCGGCGCAAGCUGCCGCUUGCAGAUGGGCCCGCGGCGCAUUAGCUAGUUGGUGAGGUAACGGCUCACCAAGGCGACGAUGCGUAGCCGACCUGAGAGGGUGAUCGGCCACACUGGGACUGAGACACGGCCCAGACUCCUACGGGAGGCAGCAGUAGGGAAUCUUCCGCAAUGGACGAAAGUCUGACGGAGCAACGCCGCGCGAGCGAAGAAGGUCUUCGGAUCGUAAAGCUCUGUUGUCAGGGAAGAACAAGUACCGUUCGAACAGGGCGGUACCUUGACGGUACCUGACCAGAAAGCCACGGCUAACUACGUG
rnacentral:rRNA from 1 species